AGAGAAAGUCCCUCUGCACUGAGAGGGUUUAGAAGUUUCCUGGAGGAAAAAUGGAUUGAAGUUGGGCUUUGAAGAAAUCAUAAGCUUUCCCAGAGCAAGACUCGUGAGAGCCGCAGGCACUAGAGGCGGGUGCUAUUGCUUCCGAAUCCAGGCAGGAGGAGCUAAUGAGAAAAAUCCAGAGGAAAGAGGUCAGCGCCAUACAAGGAACCACGACCACCCAGCGAGGCAGCCAGUUAUCUACUGUACCAAAACGGACUUCACUAACUCGAGCGCCCGACUGGAAGAUGUGUACCCUGGGCCCUUCUGUCUAAUUCGUUAUCAGCCUCAAGACUCUCCACUUCUGAGGAUCAAUGUGAUGUGACUGAGCCCACCCGGAGUAUAGGAUUUUCAUCUUCUCGUCCCUUCAGUCACUCGACGAGAUGCAGAGAACAACAC